AAGACGAGAAGACCCUAUGGAGCUUUAAUUAACUAUUCCAAAAGUUAAACAACUCAACCACAAAGGGAUAAAACAUAACUUAACAUGGACUAGCAAUUUCGGUUGGGGUGACCUCGGAGUACAAAAAACCCUCCGAGUGAUUUUAAUCUAGACAAACCAGUCAAAAUAACCAUAACAUCACUUAUUGAUCCAAAAUUUUGAUCAACGGAACAAGUUACCCUAGGGAUAACAGCGCAAUC
rnacentral:rRNA from 1 species